rnacentral:rRNA from 1 species
GGAGGGCAAGUCUGGUGCCAGCAGCCGCGGUAAUUCCAGCUCCAAUAGCGUAUAUUAAAGUUGUUGCAGUUAAAAAGCUCGUAGUUGAAUUUCGGGAUCAGUACGUUGGUCGUGCCUUGGUACGUACUGGUGUAACUGAUUCCUCCCUUCUGACGAACCGUCAUGCCAUUCACUUGGUGUGGCGGGAAAUCAGGACUGUUACUUUGAAAAAAUUAGAGUGUUUAAAGCAGGCUCGCGCUUGAAUACAUUAGCAUGGAAUAAUGAAAUAGGACGUUAAUCCUAUUUUGUUGGUUUCUAGGAUCGACGUAAUGAUUAAUAGGGAUAGUUGGGGGCAUUAGUAUUCAAUUGUCAGAGGUGAAAUUCUUGGAUUUAUUGAAGACUAACUACUGCGAAAGCAUUUGCCAAGGAUGUUUUCAUUAAUCAAGAACGAAAGUUAGGGGAUCGAAGACGAUCAGAUACCGUCGUAGUCUUAACCAUAAACUAUGCCGACUAGGGAUCGGAUGAU